rnacentral:misc_RNA from 1 species
GAUCGACAAAUGCUUCUUAUAAAGUAAUCUUUUCCUCAUUUCUCCUCCUCAUGCUCUCAUAUAUAUAUAUGUAUAUCGGCAAGUACUUCAGUUGAUAUCAGAAAAAAUCAGCAUUCGUUUGUUUAAAUGCAUAGUUGUUUUUGUAACAGUUAAGUGUCUCGUUGGGGGUUAGAUGAAAAGAAUUUACUUGUUUACAUGUAUAGUUUUAAAGACUCAAUUGGUUCAUACUUCUUGAGGUUUUAGAAAUGGUGUCAAUCAGUUUUUGUCUUUUAAACAUUAAUAGGCUAAACCUCAUCGUUCUCAAAGUGAAUUCACCUCCCUUUAUAGAAAUCUUAACUGGCUAUAGAAUGUACAAUCUUGGGUGAUUAUUUCCUGGUUGUUUUGAUGUGCAUAUAACUGACAAGAUUUUGAAUAAAACAAGAACUAGCAAAAUUUUGACUCAUUCUCUCAUUCGUUUCAAGUUAAUGAGAGCUAAUCUUUUGCUGCUGCAUGAAGCUUUGGGAACGGACUGAUGGAGGUUUCUGUUACUGGUGUAGCAAGUGUUGAUUUCUGCAUGGUAGAAAUAAUAAUGAUUUAAUGUUACUAAAGAAUUCGAAGGUCUUUAUAUUUUUCCUGUACGCAAUAACUUUAUGAUUGUUGGUUAUUCAGGCAACAGGAUGAGGAGUUGGA